CAAGCAGCUCAGGGGCACACUUUUUGUGACGUAAAUUGAACGCACCUGAGGCGGGCUAUUUCACCUGUAAUGACCCCUGCUCACCGUUUGGCUCCGUUAGUGGCGGUUCCAACUUUCUAGCUCUCCACUUCGAACACACACUUUUUCGGGCCUGUCGUGGACAUGAACUUCUUCUCGAAGACGGAUUUAACUUUGACAGAGAGGACACUGGUGUCACUGCUUCACUUCACCAAGCUCCUCAUCAUCAAAUACAAUUAAACCCACCCGGAUUGCGGAGUUGUCCAUCUAGAAUCUACUACACUUUUCAGGACCUGUGGCAGAGAUAAAGAAAGAUGAAGAAAACCCAAGAGUGAUGCGAGGAGUGGAAAAGAAAGAAGUCGAAGUCUGCUGCAGCUAUUCCUACCCGACGGUGGGUGGCAAGAUGAUGUCACGUUGGGAAAAAAGAAAAAAGAAAAAGAAAGGCACAGCAUUGUCAUGGGGCAGAUGAGCUGCAGUUCGAAAUAAACACGGCUAAUUUGGGAAAAAAGUCAAAGCAAGGAGAGGAAGAAGAAAGAAUAUGAUGCUGGGGCAGUGAUAGAAAACUACACAUAAGCAAACAAGACUAAAAGUUUUCCAGAGGCUUCUUGGUAGGUGUUCUGUUCAGCGUUGAUUGGUGCAUGUAUAA